GGAUGCGAUCAUACCAGCACUAAAGCACCGGAUCCCAUCAGAACUCCGAAGUUAAGCGUGCACGCUUAGGCGAGAGUAGUACUAGGAUGGGUGACCUCCUGGGAAGUCCUCGUGUUGCAUUCC
rnacentral:rRNA from 1 species